AAGAGCUCUCCUCUCAUUUCAGUGAAGAGGCUCUUUCAGCUCGUCUCAGCUUGUUUUCAGCAGGUGUUUCUGGGCGUCUAAAGCACAGAGGCUUGGAAGAUUCUGUGAAGAAAAUAACAUGGAAUACAGGGAAUAUUUAGAUUCAUCAUGUCAUAAGAGGGAUCUGCCCAGUGUCCAAGAUGAUGUUUGAGAUUGAGGCUUCAGGUGCCACUCCUAAUAAAGGCCACAGCCUUGGAAUCAGGAUGAAGCUGGAGCCUGAGGGAGCCAGGCACACUCAGGAGAGGGCA